GAUGAACGCUGGCGGCGUGCCUAAUACAUGCAAGUCGAGCGAACAGACGAGGAGCUUGCUCCUCUGACGUUAGCGGCGGACGGGUGAGUAACACGUGGAUAACCUACCUAUAAGACUGGGAUAACUUCGGGAAACCGGAGCUAAUACCGGAUAAUAUAUUUAACCACAUGGUUCAAUAGUGAAAGACGGUUUUGCUGUCACUUAUAGAUGGAUCCGGGCGUCAUUAGCUAGUUGGUAAGGUAACGGCUUACCAAGGCAACGAGGCGUAGCCGACCUGAGAGGGGGAUCGCCCACAUGGGAACUGAGACACGGUCCAGACUCCUACGGGAGGCAGCAGAAGGGAAUGUUCCGCAAUGGGCGAAAGCCUGACGGAGCAACGCCGCGUGAGUGAUGAAAGUCUUCGGAUCGUAAAACUCUGUUAUUAGGGAAGAACAAAUGUGUAAGUAACUAUGCACGUCUUGACGGUACCUAAUCAGAAAGCCACGGCUAACUACGUG
rnacentral:rRNA from 1 species